GACGAACGCUGGCGGCGUGCCUAAUACAUGCAAGUAGAACGCUGAAGAGAGGAGCUUACUCUUCUUGGAUGAGUUGCGAACGGGUGAGUAACGCGUAGGUAACCUGCCUUGUAGCGGGGGAUAACUAUUGGAAACGAUAGCUAAUACCGCAUAACAAUGGAUGACACAUGUCAUUUAUUUGAAAGGGGCAAUUGCUCCACUACAAGAUGGACCUGCGUUGUAUUAGCUAGUAGGUUAGGUAAUGGCUCACCUAGGCGACGAUACAUAGCCGACCUGAGAGGGUGGUCGGCCACACUGGGACUGAGACACGGCCCAGACUUCUACGGGAGGCAGCAGGAGGGAAUCUUCGGCAAUGGGGGCAACCCUGACCGAGCAACGCCGCGUGAGUGAAGAAGGUUUUCGGAUCGUAAAGCUCUGUUGUAAGUCAAGAACGGGUGUGAGAGUGGAAAGUUCACACUGUGACGGUAGCUUACCAGAAAGGGACGGCUAACUACGUG
rnacentral:rRNA from 1 species